AUGAAUCUCUUAUGUUGGAAUUGUCAUGGCGCGGGAAAAGCCUUGACAAUUCGUGAGCUUCAGGAUAUAACGAAGCAGUUUGCCCCGGCCGUCUUAUGCAUAGUGGAAACCCAGAUUUAAAAGACACGUGUCGAGAAUCUUGGUGGUACUUUAGGUUUUAAUAAUUCUUUUGCUAUUAGUAGUUCUGGCCGUAGUGGUGGUCUAUGGAUGUUCUGA
rnacentral:rRNA from 1 species